rnacentral:rRNA from 1 species
AUGCACCAGCUUCCUCUGGCUGCGCGGCCGGCGGCGCCGCGGUCUCACUGUUCUUGGAGUAGGACGGCGUGCCGCUGUAGCUUGAAGCAGGCACCUGCCUCUCUCGCCGUGGCCGCAAGACGGUGCGCGGCCGCGCCGCUCUUGGCCGCGUCGCUCCUCCUCGCCGCCGCGGCGUCUCCUGGCAUUCCUGCCAGUACUCCACCAGCGUUUGCCCAAUCCCAAGGCGCGGCGCUGUUCCGGAAGGCGUGCGUCGGGUGCCACGACACGGGAGGGAACAUCCUACAGCCGGGCGCCACCCUCUCCAUGAAGGAUCUUGAGAGGAACGGAGUUGCCACGGAGGAAGAGAUAUACAACAUCACUUACUACGGGAAGGGAAGGAUGCCGGGUUAUGGAGAGCAAUGCACGCCGAGAGGGCAGUGUACCUUCGGCCCCCGGCUGCCUGAAGAGGAUAUCAAGAUGCUUGCAGCAUUUGUCAAAUCGCAAGCAGAGAACGGGUGGCCAAAGAUCGACGGUGAUGUCGAGUGA